ACAUUUUCCACCAAAGAUGAAUUAACUAACCAUGAUUCAAUUUUACCACUGUAUAUUUACAGUCCAGUAAGUUAUAUUGAGACAAAAUUGGUACUUAGGACAGUCUAGGAUCUUCCAUCUAUACAAGAAGCGUGUGACAUGGCACAGUCAAACUCGUCAUAUAUCUGUUAACCAUACUUCCUGUAAAAGGCAGAAGCCUCACACAGCCCAGUAACUUUGCUAGUACCUCUUGAGUGCAAGGUGGAGAAUUAAGAUCUGGAUUUGAGACGGAGCACAGAACAUUUCACUCAGGGGAAGAGCUAUGAACAUGCUGACUGCCAGCCUGCUGAGGGCAGUCAUAACCUCCAUCUGUAUUGGAUCCAGCAUGGCUCAGAAGGUAACUCAAGCUCAGACUGAAAUUUCUGUGGUGGAGAAGGAGGAUGUGAACUUGGACUGUGUGUAUGAAACCCGUGAUUCUACUUAUUACUUAUUCUGGUACAAGCAACCACCAAGUGGAGAAUUGAUUUUCCUUAUUCGUCAGAACUCUUUUAAUGAGCAAAAUGAAAUAAACGGUCGGUAUUCUUCGAACUUCCAGAAAUCCACCAGUUCCUUCAACCUCACCAUCACAGCCUCACAAGUCGUGGACUCAGCAGUAUACUUCUGUGCUCUGAAUGAAGCCACAGUGAGAUGGGUGUUGGUGGGAACCCUACAAAAACCUCAACAAGAGACAGGGCUCCUGGGGAGAGACUCCGUCACAGACAGGAAGAAGCAAGUUGGGGCUGUGUCAGCACAGGUGGUUUGGCAAGGAAACCUGAGUUCAAUUCAUGUACAAUGUCUAGAUAUAUCAUUUAUUAGAAGCAUGGGUGUCUUCUAUUCUUUAGAAUAGAUUGAGACAGAAUAUCUAGCACAUAUUUUUAUAUCAUAUAUAGAAUUAUGCAACAAAAAGUGCAAAAACAAAAUAUAUUAAUCUCGUGUUGGUUUUAUUGAGGGUGGGAAAUUAUCCGAUUAUCUUCAGACCAAAUGGAUGAUUCCAUUCAUAAGCUGUUAAGUUUUCAGAAUG